CUGGGCAGUUUGCUUCCAUAAGGCCAGCAGGAGGGUCUCUUUCCAGUGUGCCGGGAGUCGUCUGCACCGUCACCGUGGGCGUGGCCUCCGCCCCUUUGCCACAUCCUAUCAGCGUCUCACCUGGCUGGAGCCUGUGUACACACGACCUCACUCUCUAAGAGGACGGAGGUGCCCCCCCACCCCCCGGAACGGACAUCUGGGCAUUUCUGUAAAAGGUGGCCCCGCGAGGCCCGGGCCAGGACAUCGGGCAGAUGACACCGGGAGGCCCUGACGCAGGUGUCCGCGUGUCGGGGGCGGAAUGCAGGGGUUUGGCUGCUCUGAGGGGCACUGCGGUGGGGAGGCUGUGCCUCUCCACGGGCAGAGCGGCAAGCCUCCCCGCCGCUGCCUCCCACCAGGGCCGGGACGACGGACCCUCCCAGACGCUGCCCGACUUCCGCUCGACAAGGAAGAGUCACCCCGAACCGCACCUCCGGCUGCUUUUGUGCACUUUGCCUGGGGCUCCGCAGGGCGCGUUAACCCGGGAGCCCAGAUUUCUGCUGCGGAACAAGUCUUGUGCUGUUUCCUCCCCUCUGCAGCCUGGGGACGCCCGCUGUGGGCUCAGGGCUCUGGACAGCUGGCCGCCCAGGCUGGGGCGGGGCUGAGCAGGGGGCGGGGCAGGACUGGGGGGCGGGCCAGGGGGGCCGGGGCGGGGCCCAGAGGAGCGACGGCGGCGCGCUCGCUCCGGUUCCUCCUCCGUGCACCGGCAGUAGGUGGCGCGCCCCAGGGUGGCCCUGCCCCUGGUGGAGGAGUCUUGCAGGAGCUGGGCAGGGGCAGGUUCAGGUUAGACCUGCCUUAACGUUUUCCUCAGGCGAAACCAGUUGCAGCCUCGUUGUUUGGCCAAAGCCCCACGCCCUCCCGCCCCGCCCCGAGGGAGCCCCGCGGCGUCCCGUUGCUGCCCUAUCGGUACGCACUUGGGAGCACACUCUCCUCCUGCAUCAGCCCUGGGGGCCCUGGGCUGGGCCAGAGCAGGGAGGGCUGAGGCCGCACCCACCUGUCCCCGCCCAGGGAGGCUGCGCCGUCCCGUUGUCGACGACCCGGCCCGGCGUCCUCGGCACGAAGCACCUCCCGGAGGUUUCUGGUCUCAGGUCAGUGGCGCCUGUGUCUCCCAGUGUCCUGCAGCCGCUCACACUGGUUUCUCCCCAGCGCCUCUCCUCUGUCACACUCCGUCUACCUACGUGGUGGGGGCACAGCUGUACCCCAUGUCACAGAGUGGACCCCUAGGCUAGGAGAGGGUAGGGGCAGGGAUGUGAACUUGACCUGCACAGGCCACACGCAGCACAUGAACCGGACCCCCUGUGUGAGCCUCACCCCGGCUGAGGACUCCGGCCUCCGCAGGCCUAAGGGUGUGGGGAGUGGCCCCAAACCGGCACCUGGGGUGGGGGGCCAUCUACCUUGCUGGGCGGCCUUGCGCGCCCCUCCCCCCACAUCUCCUGGAAGGGCAGCGAAUGUUCAGUCAUUAGGAAACAGGUUUGACUUAUUGACUAGGCUUUUCCAGCGUGUUCUGAGGUCCCUGAAGAUCCUGCUCCAGACCAGGGUCUACGUCUGUAAGGGAAAGACCCCCGUCUUCGUAGACAACGUUUGCCCCAUGGCUCUGCCGGUUCUGACUCCCCAGGGACCAGGCUCCUCUCGGGCAGCAGGGUCCCAGCGACAGAAGCCGGUGCAGAGUGGGCCUUGAAGGAGGGCUGCCGGUGAUGUGCUCCAGGCCCCGCGAGAGACGGUGGGCCGGGUAGAGCAGGUCAGCCUGCAUGGGGCGUGGGGCACCGGGUUCCUGCCCUUGCCUGGUGGGCCGAGGCCCGGCCUCCUGCUCCGAGACGGUGGGGGGAUUCAGCUUCCCGGUGACUUGUCCAGAUGAAGGACCCGGGGCGCGGAGGUCAGCCGGCACUGAGGGCGCACCCUUCUUGCUCUGCCCGGACCCUCCUGUGCGGAGAACAGACUGGGCCCCGAGACUCGCGUUGCCAGAGGAUGAGCUCCCGGACGUCCGGGCUCAGCCAGCCACCGGCUCUGCCUUGUCCGCAGUCCUGGCAUUUCGUACCUGAAGGACUUGUCACACUCGACCACAUUUCCACUCUGGCCCGAUUUCCUGUUGGUCGUCAAUACAUUGUAUCGAGGGAAUGCUACGAAGCCCACUGAGUGUAGGCUGCGGUUAUAAUCCUUGGAAAAAUAAACACUUCCUACCGUAAGAAAAGGGAACUUACUUUGGUAUCAAAA